rnacentral:rRNA from 1 species
AGGGCACCACCAGGAGUGGAGCCUGCGGCUUAAUUUGACUCAACACGGGAAAACUCACCCGGCCCGGACACUGAAAGGAUUGACAGAUUGAGAGCUCUUUCUUGAUUCAGUGGGUGGUGGUGCAUGGCCGUUCUUAGUUGGUGGAGCGAUUUGUCUGGUUAAUUCCGAUAACGAACGAGACUCUAGCCUACUAAAUAGAUCGCCGGUUUACAAACACCGGUGAGACUUCUUAGAGGGACAGGCGGCGAUUCAGCCGCAUGAAACAGAGCAAUAACAGGUCUGUGAUGCCCUUAGAUGUCCGGGGCCGCACGCGCGCUACACUGAAGUGAUCAGCGUGCAUUUUAAGCCUACUCUGCCAAGAGUGGGAAACCCAAUGAACCUCCUUCGUGAUUGGGAUAGGGGAUUGUAAUUAUUCCCCUUGAACGAGGAAUUCCCAGUAAGCGCGAGUCAUAAGCUCGCGUUGAUUACGUCCCUGCCCUUUGUACACACCGCCCGUCGCUACUACCGAUUGAAUGUUUU